rnacentral:rRNA from 1 species
UUGCCUACGGGGGGCAGCAGUGAGGAAUAUUGGUCAAUGGGAGAGAUCCUGAACCAGCCAAGCCGCGUGAGGGAAGACGGCCCUAUGGGUUGUAAAUCUCUUUUGUCGGAGAACAAAACCCGGGACGAGUCCCGGACUGCGUGUAUCCGAAGAAAAAGCAUCGGCUAACUCCGUGCCAGCAGCCGCGGUAAUACGGAGGAUGCGAGCGUUAUCCGCAUUUAUUGGGUUUAAAGGGUGCGUAUGCGGUCCGUUAAGUC